rnacentral:misc_RNA from 1 species
AAGUCGUAACAAGGUUUUCGUAGGUGAACCUGCGGAAGGAUCAUUAGUGAAACGACGGAUUCCUCUGCAAAGAGAAGGUCCGAUCCACUACUACACACACUUGUGCACUUGUCAUUUUUACAAAUUCAAUUUGUAUUACACACUUUUGCAUUGAAACAGUUGAUUAUACAAACUUAAAAUGAAAGAAAA